rfam:Pseudovibrio sp. FO-BEG1, complete genome.
GCGUUGCUGCGCGGUUCGUCAGGAGACACAUAUCCCCGGGGCCUUACGCAUUCCUUAGGGAGCUGUUCCUUCCCUCGCUCGUGGGCUUGGGGACACGGCGCCCACCUACAUUGUAGGUUCUCCGGGAUUGCACAUUCUCCAACGGCUGUUGUGGCACGCC